UCUCCUCUCUUCAUUCUCCCCCGCUAUCGGCUCUCUUUCGUGCGAUAUCCCUCUCUCUCACUGACUCAAUCUCUCUCUCUCUCACACACACUAUUUCCUGAUCUCUUAUAGUAGUUAAAAGCACUACGAGAUUGUGUUUCGUCAAAUCAAGCUUUUUGUUGUUCGAAUCAAGUUUUGUGUUCUUCUAACCAAGCUGAUUUUAUUGAAAUACAAUCCUGAUCAGUACAAGAUUAUGACCAAGCUUACCUAAGUCUUUUUACAACUUCAAGGAAAAGUAGUGGUUUCUCAAGGGGAACAUCACAUCUAUUUAUAGAGGGGUAACAAGGCAUCACCAACAAAGACGCGGGCAAGCAAGGAUUGGUCGUGUGGCGGGAAAUAAAGAUACUUAUCUUGGAAUCUUUGACAGAUAGUCCUGAAGAAUGCUCAGCUUGUCUUGAAACUCCAAGCAUUGGGGAUACUAUGUGCCGUCUUCCAUUAGGGAUGCGUCCUCCAAGUGUAAAUGGAAAUCUCAUAACAGAAUCACCAGCUAUGCUCAUCUGGACUUUGGAAGGGAAAAUACUCACCAGUUACAGGCAACUGGUCUUCUGGGGCAUCACUGUUUAGUAGCGCAUCUUGAGGAAGUGAAGAAGCACACGGAAGAGGCCUUAUUUAUUUAUCUAAAGCUUACUAUGUCUCUCCUUUUUGAACCUGGUUCCAGAAGAAGCAACAGUUUGUAUGUUAUUUUGUCUGGGGUGCAAACGUAUGAGAUAUGUUACGUACCAUGUAUUAACUAUCCACUCAGUGAAAAUAAACUUAAUUUGUUGCUUUCGAUACAAAUGUGAUCAAUACGAACCUAUAUUAUUAUAUGGUAGCAUGAAUUCUAAGGUAUCUAAUUA